UAACUUCUCGCGAGAAUGAAGGGAGGCGGCCUCGGCAGAGAUGGAACCGCCGCAGCGCGUGCCUACCGGCCUCCCCGCGAUACUGGCGGUAACUUCCCCCGCCCACCCUGGCGAGGGAGAGAGAGACAGACAGACUGGUCUGAACCAUGGCUGUUGGGACUUGCAGUUUUCCACAUCCUCUGCUUUCUGAUCACUUGCUUUUCAUUCCAGCGCUACCACCUGCAGAUAGGGCAUUUUCUCUGCAUGGUUGCCUUGGUGUAUUGUGCUGAAUAUAUCAAUGAACUGGCUGCUAUGAAUUGGAGGUUAUUUUCUAAAUACCAAUAUUUCGAUUCAAGAGGGAUGUUUAUUUCCCUAGUAUUUUCAGCUCCCUUGCUGUUGAAUGCUAUAAUAAUAGUGGUUACCUGGGUUUAUAAAACAUUGAAUGUAAUGACUGAAUUGAAGAACCUACAGCAAAAAAGAAGAGCAGAAAAAGAAAAGAAAAACUGAGACAUGGUGGUCAAGAUGGGUUCUGAAAAAGAUUUGGCGGUCAUGGUGGAUAAUCAGCCGAACGCGCUGAUCUUGCAAGCUGAUCAGUGGGGACAGUUCUCUGCACCUUUGUGGAGCCGAACCAAAAUCAGGGAAGCUUGUGCAGGCCCAAGAGUCCACCCACACAGAUUUCCUUAUAAGGGCUGGGCCCUUCAGCAUCAGGGACAUGUCUCACUUUGUCUUGUACAGCAAGACCACAGUGUUGGAGCAUAAUAAAUAGCAUAGUACAAUCCUGAACAGAGUAACACACAUGCCAAUAUAAAAACUUUGAUAAGUAAAAAUGACAGUUUUAGCAUUGAGGAAGUUGAAUAUCACCAUAAUGAUACAAUAGUUUGCAUACUUUUAAGUGGAUAGAAGCUGGAUAUUUUCUUUGUUAAAAAUCAAUUAAUAUGAAAGCACAGUGGCUUUUUUUUUCUAAAGUGUGGAUAUGUGCACAUUGGAAGAGAAUAGGUGCCAAAUCAAUAAAGUAGGUAUUUUUAAAAAUUGGAAUAGCUUUUUUUCAGUUCCAGGAAACUCUCAAAAUACACUUUAGAAUUCUAAGUAUAAUUGAAGCAGCACAUGGUUUUAAGUCUUCUCUAUUAAAAGGUCUCAAAGGUAAAUAGCAAUAUGUUUAAGAAAAAUAAUUUAGUCUUAUAAAUUAAUGACUACAAACUGAGACAAAUGUGAUUUUUUUUCCAAAUGUUAUAAAAUGUAAAUAACAAAAAUAUUCCAGCAUUUUUCCCCCCACGGGAUUAUCAAGCCUUACCUACGUUGAUUACUUUUCCUUUAGAUAACCUUUUCAUGUAACGUUAUGAAGGAAAUUUUAAGUUUUAGAGUGAGGGAAAUACAUAAAAGAAUAAUAAAAAAAUGGUUUUCAAAUUAUUUUUUUUAAAAAGUGUUUUUUAACCAUAAGGGCAUCCCCCAGAGAAUUAAACGGAAAGUGGUGAUUGUGUUGGUUAUAAUAGGAAUAGAUUUAUGAAGUGAUGGAACAAUAAAUGUAACCUAAAAGCCUACUUGCUGACAAACCUAAAAUAAUUACAUCGUUAAUUCAGACAGUUUUUGCUGGUUUCAGCUUUCUAUAUGUGUAAGUAACUUGGGACUAAAUUUUUAUUUGUGGUGGAAAGCCUGAAUCAACAUGCUUUGCCUGGAAGAUUUCAAAGGAGGUUUUGUGAGAAUGCUCCAGGUUCAAUGACAAGGAGUCUAAGAUACAGCCAAGGGAUAGCUGCUCUACUAACUACUGCAGACUUUGGGCUAAAAAGGGGAAUUUGGUCAUUGGAUUCAUGUAGCUUGCAGGGACAAGCUUCACCUCCAGCGUGCCCUGAUCUUCUCAGUGCUACAGGGAGAGUCACUGUGGAAUAAUGCUAAAAGGUGCAUGAGGAGUAUGACAUCCACCUGCCAUCCUUCCUGUAGCCCAGCUUUCGCUGUAUUUGAAUCAUGGCAAUUCUGGGGCAUUAUGGGUCUUUUCAAAGGGGGGCAGCUAGGACUGUGCCCUAAAUUUCCUAAAGAACCCUAAAUGCAAUAGAAUUUGAAGUUAUCAUUCCAAAUGCAAAACUGGUUAAUGAACUGAGCUUGAGGUGAAUUUGCCCACAGACACUUGAUUCGGCUCUGUCUGGGAACUUGACAAGAGGAGGAGGAGAAGAAAACACAAGCCUCCAAAAAGAAGUAGGAGUCGGUUUUUAACAAUUUUCAUUCUAUAUAAGAGGGCACAUUCUCUGGCUUGGAACAUGUUUACUGAAAGUAAUGUGUUUCUUCAAGUUCAAUAAGACAAAGUCAGAUUAUUUUGCCCCCUUUUUAUUUUAAAGCUAAACUAAAUCCAUUAGGAAUGAGGACACCUACUAGUACUGGCAUAGACACCAAUACAGCAAAACACUUAGGGCUAGAUUUCUGAAAGGUAUUCAGAUGCCUGAAGACACAGAUUGGUGCCUAAUGGGAUUUUCAAAAGUUUUUAAGCAAGUUAGGCACCUAACUCCCAUUGAUUUCAAUGGUAUUGACCAUUAACUUUAAAACAUGAAUUGUUGAUGGGACUACUCACAUGCAUAAAGUUAUGCAUAGACUUAAGUGCUUUGGUGGAUCAGGGCCUCAAGUAGCAUACUCACUUUGAUAAAUUUGUCAUGUAUGCAUUUCAGAAAAUGUUCAACAUAGCUUCUCUCAGAGUACUAUAUUAACUUUAAAACUAAGCUUUUUUUUUUUUCUUUUUGUAAAGGAUUGUCAUAUAUCGGAGGAAGGGUUUGGUUUGCUUUUUUUACGUAGGUUUUAGUAUAAAAAUGUUGGGAAAAAGUUUGAAGUAAGAAAUAACUUGAAUUUUGGUGAUCAAAAUUACACUGAAGUUUUGGGCUCAAGACUAGUUAUAGAUCAAGAAAAUGUCAAACAACUGGGUUUAAAAAAAAAAAACAGCAAGAAAGAGGUUAUGUGUUAGGGGUUCAGAUGAUAAAGAACCAAAUUUCUAAUUAGUGAAUAUUUUAUUCCUCUGUCAUCAUUGUUUUGAACAGUUUCUUACAUACACAUAUAUUAGUCUUAUGCUUUUUAACAUGACUGGGGAAAAAUACUUGCAUACACUGUAACUUUACAGCAUGAAUAAAACCAGUUUGUGCAAGUUGUUAGACUUUGGUUAUCUCAGCACAGAAAACUCAAAUACUAUGUCUGUUCAUAUUUGUAUCCAAUGUAAAUAUUUUUAAAUGCAAAACACCCCUUAAAUCUUGUAUAUGUUCAAGAAAUAUGGGUCAGUUUUGAGUAUGGUAAUAUUGGUUUGCAUCCAAUACAGGUGUAAUAUGAGUAGGGACUACUACAGUUAAUUAAACUAACCAGUGAAUGGCAAUGGUUCAUACUCAAAAACUGAUUUAUUUCUCUUGCAGUAUUUUCCAUACUACCCAUCACCAUAGUAGCUAAGCAACUAAUUGCAACAUAUAGGAAUGAGCAAGAAUGCUUAGACUGUAAACACUUGAGAGCAGAUACUUUGUGUUAUAUAUAUUUUUACUACUGUAAAGUGUCCCAUGCACUCAUGAUUUAAAUAAAACCCUCAACAGGAAAAUCACUUUAAAAGGAUAAUUUAUGCAUCACAGUGCACUGUAAGGUUCAAAUCCAGCAGAUAUGUAUAUACUUAAUGUAGUAAAGUUAAGCAUGUUGGUAAGGGCUUGCAGGAUAAAGGCCUAUUACUGUAAAUAGAUUUAAAUUAAAUAGUAGUGGAAUUGGUUAAAACAAAGCAAAUUUCUUAAAAUGGACAAACUCCAAGUGCCAGUUACGACGUACACACAAACUUAGCCCAGAAUCAAAUGAACAGCAUAACCUACCCUUUCAUAAGUUUAGUUAGAGCAGGGCUUCUCAAACUUUAGCAACGUAUAGGCCCCCAUUUUGAUUUUAAUUUUUUUGCAGAUCCCCAAGCUCCCUCCUUAGCCUCAGGCCCUGCCCCACCUCUUUCCGCCCCUGCCCCUCCUUUUCCCUGCUUCUUUAUGCCCCCAUCCCUGCUCCUCCUCCUGCACACUGCUGAACAGCUGUUCCCCACUGCAUAGGAGGCUUUGGGAGGGAGGGAAGGGGAAGAGUUGAUCACCUGGGCCCCUGGACCCCCUGGGGAGUACCCUCAUGGACUCCCAAGGGUCUGCAGACCCCAGUUUGAGAAACUCUGGGUUAGAUGAAUAAGAGACAGAUUCCAAAGUCGAGGGCCCUUCAUGGGACGCAUCGUACCAAACUAGUCGUUCAGAUCUUAGGACUGUAAGCACCUCAGAGACCUCAGUUGUCGUGGAAGGAAAUGUGCAGAAAGGCAGUCUUUCAUAAAUUAGGACCUAGGGCUUUCUGAAUCAAGGUGCAGCCUUAGAAGGGAAUGUGAAUAAGAACAGCAUACCAUUCUGGGACACGGAUACGGAUCUUUGAUCAUACAAUAGAAAUAAUGAUGUUUUAGUAGCACCUCAACUGGUCUAAGAAUCCAUAUAGUGGUAUCUGAAUAUAUUUGUGGAUGUCCAGCCAUCAGCACAAGCUCGAUGUGGAUAAAACAACUAAUUUCCCCCCCAUGCUUCAUUCCCACUACCUCUCUUUCUCAAUCACUGUUGAUAACAGCACUGAUAUUGAUAACAUUGAUCAUUGAUAACAUUGUUGUUAUCAACAGUGAUCUCAAUCACUGUUGAUAACAUCCUUCCUGUCACUCAAGCCUGUACUCUGGGUGCCAUCCUUGACUCAGACCUAUCUCUAAGUCCUCACUGUGACCUAUGGUGCCUAGGGCAGCCCUCACUGGAAAUGCCACGGUCAGGGCAGGCUACAAAAGGGAGAGCAGAAACUCCCAAGGCUGGUGGGUAACACUGACUUCAAACUCCUCAAUCAGUCACAAACUCUGCUUCUGAUCCCCCCCACUGGUGAGCAAGAAGCAAAAUCACACAGCCCCUUUAUUGUUUUCUGGCUCUCUGGCUCCUAGUCAGCCCAGAGGUUCAGUGCCAUGAGAAGUUAUUUAAAAAACUCUGCUCACAUAUACAAAAUGUUCUUCUGACCCCAAAGGGUCAGCCACGUUACCAGGUCAGUGUAAGCUUGGAUAAGCAGGCUAGGCAGUUCUUAUGCCAAUCUGUCUGGGAGUGUCACCCAGAUGCACAGCAUAUGUUUGAAAUACAGAUAUACCCUACAUAUCUAUAACAUAAACAAGAUUACAAAAUACCCAAAGAUUACCCAAAAUACCAUGCUGCUAGCCAAUCCUUUAGUGUCUAAAACUAAAGAUUUAUUAUAAAGAAAAAAGAACAAGAAAUGGUUAAAUAUUAGAGCAGUCACAUACAUACAAAGACUUCAAAGUCCAUAUAUCAGGUUCCUAGUGGUAUUGAUGAAUUUGCUGGCUUGAAAGUCCCUGUGGAACACAACCACAGCUUGGAUGGGUCAUUCAGUCCUUUGUUCAGAGCUUCUAUUGUAGAAAGGUUACUCCAGAGGUAAGAAUCAGGAAUGAAAAGAAAAUGGAGAAGAUGCAACUGCCUUUUAUAGUCUUUUGCAAUGCAGCUUGAAUGUCCUUUGUUCCAAACACAAGCUGCCCAGCACGUGACCUGGAAGCCUUAAAGUUCUGUCCAUAGGCAUGCCCCUGCAUGCCUUUCUGAGUCAUAAGGUGCAUCCCUGACCCUUUCAAUGGGUUCAUUGUACAAUUUAUGUCCCUUGAUGGGCCAUCAAGCAGGCUAGGCAAUUCUUAUGCCAAUCUGUCUGGGAAUGUCACCCAGAUGCACAGCACAUGUUUGAAAUACAGAUAUACCCUACAUAUCUAUAACAUAAACAAGAUUACAAAUUUAUAACAUUUUCUCAGAUACCUCACGUGGCAUAUCUGACACAACUCUUUGCCAUUUUACAGUAUUGGUAGUCAUAAUAUCCUAAAGUGUUUCCCAGAUUCCAUACAACAUCACACUCACACCCAAGCUAUGUCUAAGACUGUCUCUACUGUAUGGUGGUGCAUACUACAGGGGUAUAAAUUGCAGAGUGCAUCAAAGUGUGCUGUUUGAAAGAGGACUACUUUAAUGCAAACUAGCUACCUUUAAGUUCUCUCCAGCAGUGUCCACAUGGGGCAGUUAGAGUGCAAUGCUUUGGUGCUCUUUGUAGUUCAUGCUCUCAUAGUCCCCACUGCGGGACAGCAUAGACAAAACUUAAGCCUUACUCAUUCUUUUUCAAUAUCAUCUCCAAGGCUUGGUCUGACCCAGCAACUUAUGUUGGUAUAACUACAAUACUCAGAAAUGUAGAAAAUCCACACCCCUGAGUGAUGCAGUUAUACCAACUCCCAGUGUAGACAGUGCUAUGUUGAUGGGAGGGCUUCUCUCAUCAGCAUAGCUAGUGCCUCUCAGGGAGGUGGAGUACAUAAGAGGACAGGAGAAGUCCUCCUGUUGGCAUAGGAACAGUCUUUGCUGAAGUGCUAGAGCAGCACAGCUGCAGCCUUUUAAGUGUAGACAAGCCCUAAUAUAUGUCCUUUCCUGUCCAUCCACACAGCUAAAACUUUCAUCAAGGCUGUCAUCAUCUUGUGUCUCGAUUACUACAACAUCCUUCUCUCUGGCCUUAACAAAUGUAAUCUUUUGCCACUCGUAUCCAUUCAUAAUGCUGCUGUAAAGAUAAUUUUUCUGAGGUGUUGCUUUAAACUUGUUACCCUUUCUUUCCAUCCACUGGCUUCCCUUUCACUAUUGUACCAAACAUAAACUGCUUGUCUUCACUUUCAAGGCCCUUCACGCUCUAGCCCCACCCUAUCUUUCAUCUCUCAUUCAGCAUCACAGUGUUGACUCCCUCCUCCAAUCAGCCCAUGAUGUCAAACUCCAUCACCUACUUGUUACAUUUCCAAAAAAGUUCCUUUCUGCUUUUUUCUACCCUGCCCCUCACACUUGGGAGGAGCUCCUCAUAAACAUCCACUAAACUAACUCAUUCUCCUGCUUCAAACCUGCCUCCCUCAAACAUUUCCUUUGCCAUGAUACCUUCAAAGAACUUGACAAAAGCUAGGCUGCCUAUCAUGCUGAUCAAUGAUAUCUCAUUGUUUCCUUGUACUCCCCCAUUGAUCUGUUUAUCCAUCUGUUGUCUCUUGUCUUGUACUUAGAUUGUAAGCUCUUUGGGGCAGGGACUAUCUUUUGGUUCUGUAUUUGUAUAGCAUUUAGCGCAAAAGGCCUUGGUCCAUGACUGGGGUUUUUAGACACUAAUAAUGCAAAUAAUAAAUAUAUAUAUUUUUGAACAAGA